AUACGUAGGUGACAAGCGUUAUCCGGAUUUACUGGGCGUAAAGGGCGUGUAGGCGGUCUUGCAAGUCAGAAGUGAAAUUCCUGAGCUCAACUCGGGCGCUGCUUCUGAAACUGCAGGACUUGAGUGCUGGAGGGGAUAGCGGAAUUCCUAGUGGAGCGGUAAAAUGCGCAGAUAUUAGGAAGAACACCGGUGGCGAAGGCGGAUAUCUCGACAGUAAGUGACGCUGAGGCGCGAAAGCGUGGGGAGCAAACAGGAUUAUAUACCCUGGUAGUCCACGCCGUGAACGAUGAAUACUAGGUGUAGGGGGUAUCGACUCCCUCUGUGCCGCAGUUAACACAAUAAGUAAUCCGCCUGGGGAGUACGGCCGCAAGGUUGAAACUCAAAGGAAUUGACGGGG
rnacentral:rRNA from 1 species